CUCCUUUUUAAUGAUAAUAAAACAUUGAGUACUUUGAAAGAAUACAAUACAUAAAUGAGAUAUACAAUAUGUAAACAUAGUUAUAAGACAUUUGAAUGCUCAAAUUGGUGUUAUCAUAGCUCUCAAAUUUUCAGAUUUUUGACAACUCCCCCUUAACUUGUGCAUAAAAAAAAAAAUUAGUUGCCAGUUCCAUUUGUGCUCCCC
rnacentral:lncRNA from 1 species